rnacentral:sRNA from 1 species
CGUAUCGGUUAGAUUGGGAUACUCAUCAAAUUAAAACAGAAAACCGAGAAGACUUCUUUUGCCGAUGGCGGGCCACAAUAUCGUAAGGUAUAGCUGUAAAGCCGGUGGAUUACAAAGGCGGAGAGCUCUCAAAUCAUAUAAGACUCGGAGUUUCAUCGCAUCACCGGUACGUU